AGAGUUUGAUUCUGGCUCAGGAUGAACGCUGGCGGUAUGCUUAACACAUGCAAGUCGAACGGGGGUAGAAAUACCCUAGUGGCGGACGGGUGAGUAACGCGUGAGAAUCUAGCUUCAGGUCGGGGAUAACAGAGGGAAACCGCUGCUAAUACCGGAUGAACCUACGGGUAAAAGAUUAAUUGCCUGAAGAUGAGCUCGCGUCCGAUUAGCUAGUUGGUAGGGUAAUGGCCUACCAAGGCGGCGAUCGGUAGCUGGUCUGAGAGGACGAUCAGCCACACUGGGACUGAGACACGGCCCAGACUCCUACGGGAGGCAGCAGUGGGGAAUUUUCCGCAAUGGGCGAAAGCCUGACGGAGCAAUACCGCGUGAGGGAGGAAGGCUCUUGGGUUGUAAACCUCUUUUCUCAAGGAAGAAGCAAUGACGGUACUUGAGGAAUCAGCAUCGGCUAACUCCGUGCCAGCAGCCGCGGUAAUACGGAGGAUGCAAGCGUUAUCCGGAAUGAUUGGGCGUAAAGCGUCCGCAGGUGGCAAUGCAAGCCUGCUGUCAAAGGCUGGGGCUUAACUCCAGACAGGCAGUGGAAACUGCAUCAGCUAGAGUGCGGUAGGGGCAGAGGGAAUUCCCGGUGUAGCGGUGAAAUGCGUAGAGAUCGGGAAGAACACCAGUGGCGAAAGCGCUCUGCUGGACCUGCACUGACACUCAGGGACGAAAGCUAGGGGAGCGAAUGGGAUUAGAUACCCCAGUAGUCCUAGCCGUAAACGAUGGAUACUAGGCGUUGCUUGUAUCGACCCGAGCAGUGCCGUAGCUAACGCGUUAAGUAUCCCGCCUGGGGAGUACGCACGCAAGUGUGAAACUCAAAGGAAUUGACGG
rnacentral:rRNA from 1 species